AUGCCACAAGCGGCCCUGGCAUCCCGGGGGCACGGUGUUGCCACGGCAACCACGGUGUGUGGCCUCAGCGGUGGAAGCUGCUCAGGUAUCCGGGCCACUGGACGCUCCCUGGGCUUAGGGGACGCUGAGGGCUGUCUGUGGGCACCCGUACACACCCACACACAUACCCACACACAUACACCUAUACACAUACGCACAUACACACAUACACACUGCACACACAUGCCUGUGUACCCGUACACCCCCCCACAUGUAUACACACACAUACACCCACACACAUACACACAUACACCCACACACAUACGCACAUGUAUACACACACAUACACCCACACACAUACGCACAUGUAUACACACAUACACCCACACAUACACACAUGUAUACACACAUACACACACACGCAUAUACCUGUACACAUACACACAUACACAAUGCACACACAUGCCUGUGUACCCGUACACCCCCCCUCAUGUAUACACACACAUACACCCACACACAUACGCACAUGUAUACACACACACCCACACACAUACGCACAUACACAAUGCGCACACACAAUGCACACACACAUGCCUGUGCACCCAUACACUCACACACAUAUACACACGCAUACACCUAUACACAUACGCAGAUAUACACACACACUGCACACAUGCCUGUGUACCUGUACACCCACACAUACACACAUACACACACACAUACGCACAUACACAAUGCAUACACACACACAAUGCGCACACACAUGCCUGUGCACCCAUACACCCACACCCACCCACACACACACAGUGCACACACAUACACAAUGUAUACACACAUACACCCACACAUACACACAUGCAUACACACUUACACAAUGCACACACAUGUCUGUGUACCCGUACACCCACACACAUGCACGCACACACACACUGCAUACACACAUACACAAUGCGCACACACAUGCCUGUGCACCCAUAUACUCACACACAUACACACAGUGCACACACAUACACAAUGUAUACACACACACCCACAUACACAUGCACAUACUCAAUGCACACACACAUGCCUGUGCACCCAUACACCCCCCCCCACACACAUACAGCUGUACACACCCUGCACAUACACAUGCCAGUGCACACGUACACACACACAACAUACAGCUGUACACACCUGCACACACAUGCCGGUGCACCCGUACACCCCCACAUACACACACACGUACAGCUGUACACACCUGCACAUACACAUGCCAGUGCACACGUACACACACACAUGUACAGCUGUACACACCUGCACACACAUGCCAGUGCACCCGUACACACACAUGCACACACAUGCACAGCUGUACACACCUGCACACACAUGCCGGUGCACACGUACACCCCCACAUACACAAACACAUACAGCUGUACACACCUGCACAUACACAUGCCGGUGCACACGUACACACACACACAUGUACAGCUGUACACACCUGCACACACAUGCCGGUGCACAUGUGCACACACAUGCACAGCUGUACACACCUGCACACACAUGCCGGUGCACACGUACACACAUGCAUGCAUGCACAUACCCAAUACUUACACAUGCACGUACACACACACACACAACGCACACACAGAGGUCCCCUGCUCUGCACGGAUGCACUGUGGCGUUCGGUUCUUCCCUCUUCUCAUCCACGACGGGUGGGGUCUGCGGCCCCUCCCAGGAUGCUGGGGUUGGCCCUGUGACCUGGCUCGGCCAAGAGGACGCAGGCAGGAGUGCUUCUGCCGGCCGCUGUGGGCUCUGCCCUGA
rnacentral:lncRNA from 1 species